GUCUAAACCACAAGCAGGGAAAGAAAGUGCACCACAGGCCACAACACCAGGUUAGGGUUCCCCAGUGACUGGGUGAGGUCGCCUGAAACACUAGAUCUACCCGAUGCCCUGCUUGAUUCGACCAAAAAAUACACUAAUUUUUGCCGUUAUUCUUCGGAGCCUUGUUCGAUCUCAACAAGCUAACGGUAUUUCCUUUCCCUGUUUAUAUAGGCACCUAGUAGGGUGUUAGAUCGAGCGGAAAAAAGUUCUUAUCAAUUUUCAUUGCAGAAUCUUGAUAAUUUCGCGUGAGUUUGGGUAGUUAGCUUACAGAUUCGAUGGCUUUUUUGUUCAGAUUAGUCCCAGAUUAAGUCUUAGCUCUAGUAGCAUAGCCCGAAAGAUAUAAGGUCUUUUUUAGUUACGCUUGCCUGUGCACUAAGAAGUUUAUUGCCCUUGCAGUUUGCUUUCUCUAAUCUCUGCUAAUUUGGGUUGGGGCUUCAUAGUUCAUACGGCAUCUUGCUUCUUAGGCCUACUUGUACGCCAGUUCUUCAUUUUAAGUACUGCUUCCAUGAAGUUUAUUGCCAUUGUAUAAGAUCCCUAUAAUUGUUCUCGCGUGGCUGUGAUGACAACAAAGAUUCUUUGUCAGACCUUAAUUUCAGUUAAGGACCAAAAGUGAUGACUUUAUUUGUGCGUGUCUGAGCUGACGCUCUUUUUAUAGGUGCAGUCUUGUCUAAAUGUUUGGUUUCCCUUCUCUUUGUGCUGUUUUUUUUUUUGCAACUUUUUGUUCAUGUUUUUAGGUGAGCAGAGCUAGCUCAGUGUUGUCGUGUUCUCAAAUAUCUAUUUUUUGUAAUUUUGGUUCAUGUUUUUUAGGUGACAACUGUGUGUAGAUGAACUAGCUCAGUAUUUUUGUGUUCUCCAAUAUCUAUUGCGGUCUGUAACAAUUGUGCAUGGGAGUUCAACAAAUUUGUCAAGCCAUUGCUACUUCAUUCGAUGGCUAUUGACUUCAGUUACUCCUAUAUUGAUGCAAGGCAAAGAUAGCCCUGGUUCAUCGAAAAUGGAUCUUUAUGCAUGGCUGUGAUGAUGAAAACUUCGUUUCUCGAUGCUGAGACUUGAUCUAUUCAAGGAUAAAAUUUUGAUGAGAAUUGCGUGCCUGAGCCAAUGUGACCUAACCUUUAUGUAUUUAUCUGAGAUAAAUUCAUUUUUCGUUGUUGCUUGUAGUAUUCUUGCCUGGCUGUGAUGACAAAAAUUCCGUUUCUCGGUGCUGAUACUUGAUUUAUUCAAGGACCAAGAAUGUGAUGAGCUUUGUGCGUGUCUGAGCCCAUGCACCUUAUUGGCUGUGCGCAUUUGUGUUUUUUUCGUUUUGUAUUGCCCAGAGUCUUUCUCCUGGAUCAGUCUUUUAGGGGUAAUAAUUUCAGCCUUAUGUAAUCGUUUAGGAGUCUAACCUGUGUGAUUUCCAAGGAUCUUGCAAUUUCAAACAACGACCUGUUUUUGCACAAAUCCUGUUUUUUUUUCAUAACGAAGGCCAUGUUUCUUUCAGCAACAUGCUGCAUAAACAUCUGGUGCAGAGAGGCUUAGAUUGCAAUACUGUUCUACGUCUUCUCAGCAGAAAAGAAACUGAAUGAACGAUAGAUAUCUCUAUAGAAAAGAAACUGAAUGUAUGAUAUAGAAAAUAAACUUCAUGUAUGAUAGAUAUAUAUGAAUUUUGAUGAACAGCUAGGGCUUAUGGAUCUCGUAUCAUUCACUUUUUACUGGGUCUGUGAAACUCAUAUUAGGUAAUUCAAGGCUAAAUCAUCAAACAUCCACACGUUUAUGAGUUUAUCAGGAUUAUACGCAUCAUCUACUUGUUCCACGACAAAACUUUGUACUGUUCUUGCCUGGCUGUCAUGACAAAAACCUCCGUUUCUCGGUGCUGAUUUGAUUUAUUCAAGGACAUGGAAUGUGAUGAGCUUUGUGCGUGUCUGAGCCCCCAGGCACCUUAUUAUCUAUUUAUCUACAUGCGCCUUUCUGCUAUUUCUGUUUUGCUUUGCCUGGGUUCUUGUUCCUUGAUUACUGGGUCUUUUAGGGGUUUUCUGGGGAGCUUGCGAACUAGUAGGCCACUAGGUGGAUCUGAUAUUUUCAUCUGCGAUAGAGAUUAUAAUCGCUGUUCUGAAUGGUACUCUUUUCCUGUAUGGGCAACUGCAAAAGUCCUGCUUUUUCUUUUUCUUUUUAAACAACCUUGUGCUUCUUUCAGGAACGUGCUUCAAAAAUAUCGGGCCAGAGUGAGGCUUUAUGAUCCAUCGAUCCUCCUUCCUAGGUAGUUAGCUUGUUCGCAAAACAGAGAACACUGAAUAUAUGAUAGAUCUGAAUGAAUUUGAUAAAUAGUGAUGGCUUAUGGAGCUCACACCACUCAAUUUUACUGGCCCUGUGAAACACAUAGUAGGUGAUUCAAGGCUAAAUGUGUAUCAGGAUUAUAUGGAUCCUUCUCCAUCUACAUGUUCUAUGAUUACAUUCUACUUCUCUUUGUGAAGAGUUCCUCUUAGGAUCUUUGUAUUA